rnacentral:rRNA from 1 species
AGCAGCCGCGGUAAUUCCAGCUCCAAUAGCGUAUAUUAAAGUUGUUGCAGCUAAAAAGCUCGUAGUUGAACUUCGGGGUUUACCCAUUGGUCAGGCUUAAUUGUCUGUACUGGUGAGAUAAAUCUCUACCCUCUGAGGAACUUUCAUGUCAUUAAUUUGGUGUGAUUGGAAAUCAGGACUGUUACUUUGAAAAAAUUAGAGUGUUUAAAGCAGGCUAACGUCUGAAUACAUUAGCAUGGAAUAAUGAAAUAGGACGGAUUGAUUCUAUUUCGUUGGUUUCUAGGAUCACCGUAAUGAUUAAUAGGGAUAGUUGGGGGCAUUAGUAUUCAAUUGUCAGAGGUGAAAUUCUUGGAUUUAUUGAAGACUAACUACUGCGAAAGCAUUUGCCAAGGAUGUUUUCAUUAAUCAAGAACGAAAGUUAGGGGAUCGAAGACGAUCAGAUACCGUCGU